AUUGAACGCUGGCGGCAGGCCUAACACAUGAAAGUCGAACGAGUGGCGGACGGGUGAGUAAUGUCUGGGAAACUGCCUGAUGGAGGGGGAUAACUACUGGAAACGGUAGCUAAUACCGCAUACCAUCAGAUGUGCCCAGAUGGGAUUCGCUUGUUGGUGGGGUAACGGCUCACAAAGGCCACGCUCCCUAGCUGGUCUGAGAGGAUGACCAGCCACACUGGAACUGAGACACGGUCCAGACUCCUACGUGAGGCAGCAUUGGGGAAUAUUGUACAAUGGGCGCAAGCCUGAUGCAGCCAUGCCGCGUGUAUGAAGAAGGCCUUCGGGUUGUAAAGGACUUUCAGCGGGGAGGCGUUACCCGCAGAAGAAGCUCCGGCUAACUCCGUGCCAGCAGCCGCGGUAAUUC
rnacentral:rRNA from 1 species